rnacentral:rRNA from 1 species
UACGGAGGGUGCAAGCAUUAAUCGGAUUUAUUGGGCGUAAAGGGCGCGUAGGCGGGUUAGUAAGUCAGAUGUGAAAUUCCGAAGCUCAACUUCGGGACUGCAUUUGAAACUACUGAUCUAGAGGAAUGGCGGAGAAAAUGGAAUUCCACGUGUAGCGGUGAAAUGCGUAGAUAUGUGGAAGAACACCUGUGGCGAAAGCGGUUUUCUAGCUUAAUCCUGACGCUGAGGCGCGAGAGCAAGGGGAGCAAACAGG